rnacentral:rRNA from 1 species
UACGAAGGGUGCAACCGUUGCUCGGAAUCAUUGGGCGUAAAGCGCACGUAGGCGGCCUCAUAAGUCGGAUGUGAAAUCCCUCGGCUCAACCGAGGACGUGCAUCCGAAACUGUGAAGCUCGAGUAUGGAAGAGGGUCGCGGAAUUCCCGGUGUAGAGGUGAAAUUCGUAGAUAUCGGGAGGAACACCAGUGGCGAAGGCGGCGACCUGGGCCAAUACUGACGCUGAGGUGCGAAAGCGUGGGGAGCAAACAGG